rnacentral:lncRNA from 1 species
GACUCAGGGCUGCGGCCGGGGUCCUGCGGGGUAGGAGCGCGAGGCCGGCCUGAGGGAGGAGGCCUAGCGACCCAUCCGGCGCCUCCCGCCCCGGGCACCCGCCCGCGGCCGCGCAUCCUGCGGGCCCCAGGAGGCCUCCAUCUCAAAACAACGUGUUUUUAGGUAAUUUCAAACUUAGGGAAAAGCUUCAAGAAUAAUACCGAAAAUGUCAGUGUCCCCAGCACCUAGAUCCCCCAGUUAAAUCCUUUUCCAUUUCACCGCGCUGCCCCCCGCCCCCUGGACGGUUAUGUGGCCGCGUGGGGUUGGCUCUGCCCAGGGCCGCGGUCACUGCACAGAACGCCCUGCACGUAAGGGGCUCCGCCUGGGUAAGACCCCGCCCAGCUGGGCAGGAGGAGGGCGUGGGCCCAGGACAUGGAGACCAGCCUGGGCAACAUAGCGAGACCCCAUCUCUGCAGAAAUAAAAUAUUAGCCGGACGGUGCACGGUGGCUCAGGCCUGUAAUCCCGGCACUUUGGGAGGCCGAGGUGGGAGGAUGGCCUGAGGUUAGUGUCUCACAUGUCUGUGUGAAGAGACCACCAAACAGGCUUUGUGUGAGCAACAAGGCUGUUUAUUUCACCCGGGUGCAGCCCGGCUGAGUCGGAAAAGAGAGUCAGCAAAGGGCGAUGGGAUUAUCAUUAGUUCUUACAGGUUUUGGGAUAGACGGUGGAGUUAGGAGCAAUGUUUUGCAGGCAGGUGGUGGAUCUCAUAAGGUACAUUCUCAAGGGUGGGGAGAAUUACAAAGAACCUUCUUAAGGGUAGAGGAGAUUACAAAGUACAUUGAUCAGUUAGGAUGGGGCAGAAACAAAUUACAAGGGUGGAAUGUCAUCAGUUAAGGCUGUUUUCACUUCUUUUGUGGAUCUUCAGUUGCUUCAGGCCAUCUGGAUGUAUACAUGCAGGUCACUGGGGAUAUGAUGGCUUAGCUUGGGCUCAGAGGCCUGACAGGAGUUCAAGACCAGCCUGGUGAACAUGACGAAACCCUGUCUCUACAAAAAUAAGAAAUGAACGCAGCAUGGUGGCAUGCACCUGCAGUCCCAGCCUCUUGGGAGGUGGAGGCAUAAGUCAGCUGUGAAUGCGCCCUGCACUAGAGCCUGGGCAGCAGAGCAGACCCUUCCUCAAACCCAAAAAGCGUCGUGCCAACCAGACCAGAUGGUCGCCUAAUCAAUAGAGACCAUGCCCAAUCAGGUAAGGACAGACACAACCAGGCAUGCUUUUUCUUGUUUUGUUUUUUGUUUGUUGUUUUGAGAUGGAGUUUCACUCUUGUUGCCCAGGCUGGAGUGCAGUGGUGUGAUCUCGGCUCACCGGAACCACCACCUCCUGGGUUCAAGCGAUUCUCCUGCCUCAGUCUCCCAAGUAGCUGGGAUUACAGGCAUGCACCACCAGGCCCGGCUAAUUUUGUAUUUUUAGUAGAGACGGGGGUUUCUCCAUAUUGGUCAGGCUGGUCUCAAACUCCCAACCUCAGGUGAUCUGCCUGCCUCGGCCUCCCAAAGUACUGGCAUUACAGGCGUGAGCCACUGCGCCCAGCUUGUUGUUUUUCUUUAGACAGUGUCUUCCUCUGUGGCUCAGGCUGAAGGGCACUGGGAUGAUCACAGCUCACUGCAGCCUCCACCUCCCAGGCUCAAGCCAUCCUUCUUCCUCAGGCUCCUGAGUAGCGGGAGCUACAGGCAUGCGCCAUCAUGCCUGGCUAAUUUUUGUAUUUUUUGUAGAUACGGGGUUUUGCUAUGUAGCCCAGGCUGGUCUUGAACUCCUGACCUCAGGUGAUCCCUCUGCCUCAGCUUCCCAAAGCGCUGGGAUUACAGAACAUGAGCCACUGUGCCCGGCUUAUUGUACAGUCUUUACUCUCGGUUUUCACCAGAGAACUCAAGGGCUGUGAAAAGAGCAGGACCUCACCAGCUGCACGGCGGUGGUGACUGGCUCCAUCUUGCUGUCCCUCCCAAUCACACAACAUCUCCCCUUGAAGGCUCUGCCCAGGCCCGGACUCCCACCUUUCAAGAUGUCUGGAUCAGUGCAGGACCUCCUCCUUGGCCACAUCGCUCUCCUUGGACUGGAAGAGAUGGGGUUUCAUCAUGUUAGCCAGGCUGGUCAGGUGAUCCAUCCGCCUUGGCCUCCCCAAGUGCUGGGAUUACAGGCGUGAGGCACUGUGCCCGGCCUGCCCCCCUUUUCUCUUGAUGCACAUGACAGCCUUCUUGCAAUCAAGAAACUACGUGUGGCCAGGAUCUCAUCCACUAUCACAGUUUCAGCUUUCCCCAAACUGGAAUGUGUCUUUGCAGACGCCCAUCCUUAUUAAAGGGCAAAGACUUCUCAUACACCUAGGAUGGAUCUUAUAUUCUUGGCGGGACUGCAGAGAAGGUGCCGUGUCCUGAGUCCUCAUGUCAGGGCACAGGCUUCCAGCCAGUUCUACCUGGGUUAUGUUUAUCUCAAUUCCCUGGUGGUAUUGGUGUCUGCUGGGUUUUGCCAGAAUGAAGACACCGUGUUUUCAUUUGUCAGUUGAUUCGUAUUUUCCAGGAAGACAUUCUGAGAUUACAGCAUUGUCUUAGUCAAGGUGCUGCAGAAGGACAGAACUAAUAGGAUAUAUGUACAUAUGAAAGAAAGUUUAUGAAGAACUGGCUCACACCAUCACAAGGCAAAGUCCCAUGACAGGCCAUCUGCAAGCUGAGGAGCGAGGAAGCCAGCAGUGGCUCAGCCGGAGUCCAACAGCCUCAAACGGAAUCCAACAGUUCAGGCUUCAGUCUGUGGCCAAAUGCCCAGAGACCCCGGAAAGCUACUGGUGUUAGUCCCAGAGCCGGAAGGCCAAAGAACCUGGAGUGUGAUGUCCAAGGGCAGGAGGAAUGGACAGAAGCAUCCAGCAUGGGGUAAAGACGAAAGCCAGAAGACUCAGCAAGCUAGCUUACCUACUUUCUUCUGCCUGCCUUGUUCUAGCCGCGCUGGCAGCCGGUUGGAGGGUGCCCACCCCCACUGAGGGUGGAUCUUCCUCUCCUAGUCCACUGACUCAAAUUUCAGUCUCUCUGGGAGCACCAUCACACCAGAAACAAUACCAGCCAUCUAGCCACCCUUCAGUUCACCAUCACAACCAUUGUCUUAUUCAUGAAACUUCUGCAGACCCACCUUAACCUCCAUCGGUGACUUCUACCUGAAGCCCUCUGAUUGUUGCCCAGUGGUGCUUUUUAAAAUAAUUUCCAUAGUUUCUUCUACACCUUUAGUUGGCAUUCUACUGUAAAGGAGAGAUUUUAUUUUCUUACUCAUUUAUUUGUUAGUUUAUAGUCACCACCAUAUGGAUGCAGAGUUCUGUCUCAUUCACUGGGAAGUAUUCUAUUGCAGUCAUGAUUUAUUUUGAUGUUCACAUCCCAGAGUUGGUGAGUGAGCGCCCCUUCACGCUGGCUCCCGAGUGCUGACGUGUCCCCGUCCUUCUCUGCACUUUUCCUUACCUCCUGGCCUCAGAUAUUCCAGGGUCAUUUGUUCUCUCCCUGCUCCAACCCUGCAGUCAGCCAUCUCCCUAGGGACGUUGGUUCCUUUAUGGAAGGUGGCAUUUAGAAGCCAGGAUUUGGGCUGAGCACUGUGGCUCAUGCUUGUAAUCCCAGCACUUGGGGAGGCCGAAGUGGGCGGAUCGCUGGAGGCCAAGAGUCUGAGACCAGCCUGGCUAACAUGGUGAAACCCUUCCCCGUCUCUACUACAAAUAAAAAAUUAGCUGGGUGUGUUGGCACGUGCCUGUAAUCCCAGUUACUCAGGAGGCUGAAGCACCAGAAUCUCUUGAACCCAGGAGGCCGAGGUUGCAGUGAGCCAAGAUUGCACCACUGCACUACAGCUUGGGUGACAGCGCGAGACACCGUCUCAAAAAGGAUAAUAAUUUAAAAAACAGCAGGAUUUGGGUGAGCAGUGCGCUCAUUGCUUCUGGGCUCUCUCGGUGGACAUAGGCUAGGAAUGUAAGAUGUAUGUGCCUGUGUAUAUACACACGUCUGUAGCUAUGUCUAUGUUGCAUACAUGUGUUUUUCCAAAAACCAAAUCCAUAACCAUGCCUUCAGUUUCAGCCCAACACCUCCGGGCUCUUUCUAGCUUUCUACCUUUCAUGAUUGUGAAUACCUUCUCCAGCAGUGAGAAACCUGGCUCCUUUGUCCUCAGUGGAUUUUCUUAUUUGCUCAAUUUUUUUGUUUUUUGUUUUGUUUUUGUUUUUGAGACAGAGUCUUGUUCUGUCACCCAAGCUGGAGUGCAGUGGCAUAAUCUCGGCUUACCGCAACCUCUGCCUCCUGGGUUCAAGCGAUACUCCUGCGUCAGCAUCCCGAGUAGCUGGGAUUACAGGCAUGUGCCACCAUGCCUGGCUAAUUUUUGUAUUUUUAGUAGAAACGGAGUUUCACCAUGUUGGUCAGGCUGGUCUCGAACUCCUGACCUCGUGAUCUGGGUGCCUUGGCCUCCCAAAAUGCUGGGAUUACAGGCGUGAGCCACCACACUCGGCCAAGUCAGAAUUUUAAGUUUCAUCUUUUUUGUAAUUAAUUGAACACCUGCAUUCAAAGAAACAGAGAAGUACCACCACGCAUAAGUAAGGUGGCCAUGGCGUACCUAGGUUUCUCAGCCUAUCAAGCUUAGGGGCUUCUUUUUACGUGAAGUCCUCCUAAGACAGCCUCUGAUAGCUGCCUUGUGGUCAGCAGGGAAGAAGGGCCUUGUAAUAGCACGACUCUGCAGGGAGGCGGGCAGCUCUCAUGGCCUUAGUUUGCAGACCUCGAGAUGUCCACUAGAAAGGAGGAGAUCGUGGCUGGCUGCGGUGGCUCACGCCUGUAAUCCCAGGAUUUUGGGAGGCCGAGGCAGGCGGAUCACGGGAUCAGGAGAUCGAGACCAUCCUGGCUAAUGUGGUGAAACCCCGUCUCUACUAAAAAUACAAAAACUUAGCCGGGCGUGGUGGCGGGCGCCUGAGUCCCAGCCACUCGGGAGGCUGAGGCAGGAGAAUGGCGUGAACCCGGGAGGCAGAGCUUGCAGUGAGCCGAGAAUUGCGCCACUGCACUCCAGCCUGGGCGACAGAGCGAGACUUCGUCUCAAAAAAAAAAAAAAAAAAAAAAGAGGAGGUCGCAGCGUCUCCAGUAACACAUCAACUCCGCAACAAGGGGCCACAAGUGUUCCUCGCCAACGGGUCCCUGCUACGAUCCCUAUUUUAAAUAAGGGGAAACUGAGGCGUGGAGGGGGUAAGAAACAGAGAAGUCAGAAUUCAAACCUGGACGACGCCUGUUAGUUUUUUGGGAUUACAGGGGUAAGCCACUGUGCCCGGCCACACGUGUUAGUUUUUUGGGAUUACAGGGGUAAGCCACUGUGCCCGGCCAUGCCUGUUAGUUUUGUAACUCCAGCAUUCCUGUCUCUCCUGCAUUUGUCAAUAGCACUAGUCCUUUGUGGUGAGUUUUUUUUUUUUUUUUUUUUUUUUUUUUGGAGACAGGGUCUUCCUCUAUCGCCCAGGAGUGCAAUGGUGCGAUCUUGGCUCACUGCAACUUCCAUCUCCCAGGUUCAAGCAAUUCUCCUGCCUCAGCCUCCCGAGUAGCUGGAAUUACAAGCACCCACCACCACGUUCAGCUAAUUUUUGUGUUUUUGGUAGAGACAGGGUUUUGCCAUUUUGGCCAGGCUGGGCUCGAACUCCUGGCCUCAAGAGAUCCGACCACCUCGGCCUCCCAAAGUGCUGGGGUUACAGGUGUGACCCACUGCGCCCAGCCUUUUUUUUUUUUUUUUUAAUACAGAUUGGGUCUUGCUAUGUUGACCAGGCUGGUCUAGAACUCCUGGCCUCAAGCGAUUUUCCCACCUUGGCCUCCCAAGGUGCUGAGAUUACAGGCAUGAGCCACCGUGCCCGGCCAGGACCACCCCUUUGGAGUGAUACCUCUCCCCAAUUUUAUGUGGCUCUGGUGGGUCAUCCCUCAGUGUCCACUUAACAGUGACAGUGACGUUAUGUCCUGCUUUUCCCAGAAGAGUCCCAGGUUAUGUUAACUGUUCUAGCAAAAUUAUUCAGAGCACCCCAUUUUCAGUCUCAGAAAUGUCUCCAUUAGUGUCAUGUGAAGUCACCCUAAACGAGGUCAAGAAAAUCAUCCAGGCUGGGCGUGGUGGCUCAUGCCUGUAAUCCCAGCACUGUGGGAGGCUGAGGCAGGUGGAUCACUUGAGGUCAGGAGUUCGAGGCCAGCCUGCCCAACAUGGUGAAACCCCGUCUCUACUAAAAAUACAAAAAUCAGUCAGGCGUGGUGGUGGCACCUGUAAUCCCAGCUACUCGGGAGGCUGAGGCACGAGAAUCACUUGAACCCGGGAAGCGGAGGUUGCAGUGAGACCAGAUCGUGCCACAGCACUCCAGCCUGGGCAAGAGUGAGACUGUCUCAAAAACAAACAAAAAAACUCCUCUUAGUUCAUGCGUGGAUUCUGAUGCAGGCUUGCAGGGAGACCCUCAGGUGCUGCCCAUGAGUAGCUGCGUUGACGGUAGCUGCUUCCUGGCUACCCCGAGGGGCUGCUCUGCAGUCAGGGGAGAGGGGCCGGCUCUCAGGGAAAGGCAUCAAGAACCACACUUGAGUUCCUGGAUCCGGGCACAUCUAAAAUUUAGGAGCCCAUAAACUCCCGUUUUCACAGAACCUAUUUUGAGUUGGGUUCUUGCCACAUGCAAUCAGAAGUCCUGGCCGACACACAACUUUGGCUUCAGCAGUCUCCCUGGGUGUCCCCACCCCAUCCCGUUCCCUGUGUUCAAAGGCGCUUGGGGCCAUCCUCCACUGUGAAACUCCCAGACACGCCAGCCCAGCUGCUUCAGGUGUGCGCUGGGAAAUUUUCACUCCCUGAAUUCCAAAAAUGAUGGCAGCCUCUGCCUCACCCUCAUAAACGCAACGUUUACAUUUAUUGUCCAGUUGUUUCAGGACGUGGAUUUUCUUUGUUUUGCUUUUUUUUUUUUUUUUUUUGAGACAAGAGUUUCACUUUUGUCCCCCAGGCUCGAGUGCAGUGGCGCGAUCUUGGCUCACCACAACCUCCACCUCCCAGGUUCAAGCGAUUCUCCUGCCUCAGCCUCCUGAGUAGCUGGAACUACAGGCGCUGCCACCACACCUAGCUAAUUUUUGUAUUUUUAGUAAAGAUGGGGUUUCACCAUGUUGGCCAGCCUGGUUUGGAACUCCUGGCCUCAGGUGAUCCGCCCGCCUUGGCCUCCCAAAGUGCUGGGAUUACAGGUGUGAGCCACCGCGCCCAGCCCUUUUUUCUGUCUGAGAACAAGAAGACAGUAAGCUCUGGGGAAAAAACAGGACCCACCUUCAUCUUUCUUAUCUUUGCUGUGCACUUCUUACAAAUAUUUGCUGAGGCUGUGAAUUAUAAUUGCAAAAGUAGAAUCCACUGUGUCCAAGCAGAAGAGAGGGUGUCAUGGGGAGCGGGCAGUGGGGAGUCACCUGUCUGCCAGGCUGGACGGGUGAACACAUUCAUCAUCUUUAGGCAUGCGAGCUUCUCCUACCUCUAUCCAUCCUUCCUUCAGCCCAUUUCCCCCGACUUCUGCCACCACCUCCGGGACGUCCUGAAGGCGAACCGGCCUCCCACCUGCUAAGUCCAACAGACACUUCAGCCUGGCUCUCACCAGCCAUGGCGGGUUGCCCUCCUACCUCUUGACAACACGCUCUUCCUCGGCUGCAGAGACACCUCCUCUCCGUAUUUUCCUCCCACAUUAGCAAUGACCACACUCAGGCUAUGUCACUCAUGGUAUUUUUGCAUCAGAAAUGCCAUCCUUGGGCCGGGCGCCAUGCCUCAUGCCUGUAAUCCCAGCGCUUUGAGAGGCCGAGCCGGGUGGAUCCCUUGAGGCCAGGAGUUCAAAAACGGCCUGGGCAACAUAGCAAGACCCUGUCUCUACAAAAAGAAACAGUUUUUAAGUCAUUCCUGAUUUUACAACGCUACUCUGAUCUGAGCCCCUGUGGCCUCGGGAUCCCCAGGCGUCUGUUCCCGAGAACGCGGGGCAGAAAGCCUAGUCCUGCACGCAGUACCAACAAUGCGGAGUCAGCGGGUUGUUUCGACUUUGUUCUGUUUCCUGAGGGGUUCUGAAUAAGGGCCACCCCCUUCCUCCUCUGUGCCGCCAUGUUCCCUCCCGGCCACGCCCCCUUGCAACCCCUCCAAUCUCCGCCCUGCACCCUGGCAGCUCCCCCUGGCGGCAGCAGCGGGUCUUCGUGGAGUCAGCCCCUCCGCUGCUUGGCCGCUGGGUUUGUCCCUUAUUUUAAUGGAUGCGCGUUGGCUAGGACUGCAACAUUGUUUCUUUCUUCCACAAAUUUUAGUUUGAAACAGACAGGAAGUUAAUUUCCCGUCUGGCUGCCACACCUGCUGGUGGCGUGGACUGCGGCCCUUAGGCUGUUCCUUGCUCGAUUUAACCCUGGGAGACAUCGAAGCCUUCCCACCCAAGCUGUAGGGAGCUGUUGAAGACCUGGUUCACACGAGAUCCUUUGCGGGGUGCAGCUGGGGAAAGCAUGAUUUCAGCUUGUAAGCUGCAUGGAGAAUGCAAAUGUAUGUGUGUGUGUAUAUAUAUAUGUGUAUAUAUAUAUAUAUAUAUAUAUAUAUAUAUAUAUAUAUACUUUUUUUUCUUUUCUUUUUUUUUCUUUUUUUUUUUUUGGAGACAGAGUGUCCCUCUGUUGCCAGGCUGGAGUGCAGUGGCACGAUCUCGGCUCACUGCAACCUCCUCCUCCCAGGUUCAAGCGAUUCUCCUGCCUCAGCCUCCCAAGUAGCUGGGACUAGAGGUGCACGCCACCAUGCCCGGCUAAUUUUUGUAUUUUUAGUAGAGACAGACUUUCACCACAUUGGCCAGGCUGGUCUCGAACUCCUGACGAUGUGAUCCAUCCGCCUCAGCCUCCCAAAGUGCUGGGAUUACAAGCGUGAGCCACUGUGCCCGGCCAAUGUAUAUAUUUUUUCAAGACAGCUCAACCCAAAGUAGCACCAGCAUGGACAGGCCGAGUGACGAAGACAGUGCUGGAGGCACACAGAGGCUGUGGGGGCAAGUAUGCGGCCGGCUGGACCUGCGGGGACCCUGCCCGUGGCUGGAAAGGGGACCAGGGGGUCCCUGGGAAACACAGGGCUCUGACCUCUGUGCAGGGUGAGGAAGGGUUUUACCAGCAGAGGGAGAGCUCAGCCCAGGCCCGAAGUCAGCACGACGAGCAGCUGACCCCUGGGAUCUUUGAGGAACCUGAAAGUGCUUGAUGGUCUUUGUGAAUCUGAAAUCCGAGCGAAGCGUCAGACCCUCGAGUUUCCCCAGGGGAACUCCGUUAGUCUCCUGGGAUUUGAUGUAUUCACGCUUUGUUCCUUCUGGACCAGUCACGCCCCACGCCAAUCUGAGCCGUCGGGGGUUGGCCCUUCCAGGAUGCUGUGAUUAGGUCUAGGGAAUUCCACCUGGAGGGAAGGGUGGGCUGUGUCCUAGGGAAUUCCACCUGGAGGGAAGGGUGGGCUGCGUCCUCGGGAGGGAGACAGCAGGUGGCAGGCUUCGGCCUCCCAGGCAGCCCUAUUGAAAAGUGAAGCCACCUGGACUUCCUGGGUCAAGUGGGGACUGGGACAACUUUUCUAUCUAGCAAGAGGAUUGUAAAAUGCACCAAUCAGCGCUCUGUAAAAUGCACCAAUCAGCACUCUGUAAAAUGCACCAAUCAGCACUCUGUAAAAUGCACCAAUCAGUGCUCUGUAAAAUGCACCAAUCAGCACUCUGUAAAAAUGCACCAAUCAGCGCUCUGUAAAAUGCACCAAUCAGCACUCUGUAAAAUGCACCAAUCAGUGCUCUGUAAAAUGCACCAAUCAGUGCUCUGUAAAAUGCACCAAUCAGUGCUCUGUAAAAUGCACCAAUCAGCAGGAUUCUAAAAGUAGUCAAUCGCAGAGAGGAUUGAAAAAAGGGCACUCUGAUAGGACAGAAAUGGAACAUGGGCGGGGCCAAUAAGGGAAUAAAAGCUGGCUGCCACCAACCACCCCCGCCCCCCCCCCCCACCUCUAGCCAGCAGUGGCAACGUGUUCGGGUCCUCGUCUAUGCUGUGAAAGCUUUAUCCUUUCUCUCUUCACAAUAAACCUUGCUACUGUUCACUUUUUGGGUCCGUGCCAUCUUUAAGAGCUGUUAACACUCACCGCGAAGGUCCCUAGCUCCAUUAUCGAAGUCAGGGAGACAACGAACCCACCAGCAGGAACCACCUCCGGACACACUAUGUCCCUGCAUCCCCGAAGCUCCCGCUACUCCCUGGAAUAUUCUUUGAAAAGGGUCCCUGUGUCCUUUUUUGCCAGCAACAGAAACUCUAAAAACAGCCACCAUUAUAGCAAUCAAUUACCAAACUCUUCUGCUGAGGCCAGGCAGAAAGCAAAGCACAACGGACCUUACCAGGAGGCCCCGCCGCUCCUGUCCAGCCCCUGCCCACUCACUCAGGUGCUCAUCACCCCCAGGAGGCUCCACUGCUCCUGUCCAGCCUCUACCCACUCUCUCAGGUGUCCAUCACUUCCAGGAGGCUUUGCGCUCCUGUCCAGCCCCUGCCCACUCACUCAGGUGCUCAUCACCCCCAGGAGGGCCCCCCUCCCUGCCCAGCUUCCCCCUACUCACUCAGGUGCUCAUCACCCCCAGGAGGCCCCACUGCUCCUGUCCAGCCUCUACCCACUCUCUCAGGUGUCCAUCACCUCCAGGAGGCUUUG